UACGGAGGGUGCAAGCGUUAUCCGGAUUUACUGGGUUAAAGGGUGCGUAGGUGGGCAGGUAAGUCAGUGGUGAAAUCUCCGGGCUUAACCCGGAAACUGCCAUUGAUACUAUCUGUCUUGAAUUAUCUGGAGGUGAGCGGAAUAUGUCAUGUAGCGGUGAAAUGCUUAGAUAUGACAUAGAACACCAAUUGCGAAGGCAGCUCACUACGGAUUGAUUGACACUGAGGCACGAAAGCGUGGGAUCAAACAGG
rnacentral:rRNA from 1 species